rnacentral:rRNA from 1 species
CCUACGGGUGGCAGCAGUGGGGAAUAUUGGACAAUGGGCGAAAGCCUGAUCCAGCCAUGCCGCGUGUGUGAAGGAGGCCUUCGGGUUGUAAAGCACUUUCAGUGGGGAAGAAAGCCUUGGGGCUAAUACCCUCGAGGAAGGACAUCACCCACAGAAGAAGCACCGGCUAACUCCGUGCCAGCAGCCGCGGUAAUACGGAGGGUGCGAGCGUUAAUCGGAAUUACUGGGCGUAAAGCGCGCGUAGGCGGUCUGAUAAGCCGGUUGUGAAAGCCCCGGGCUCAACCUGGGAACGGCAUCCGGAACUGUCAGGCUAGAGUGCAGGAGAGGAAGGUAGAAUUCCCGGUGUAGCGGUGAAAUGCGUAGAGAUCGGGAGGAAUACCAGUGGCGAAGGCGGCCUUCUGGACUGACACUGACGCUGAGGUGCGAAAGCGUGGGUAGCAAACAGGAUUAGAUACCCGAGUAGUC